rnacentral:rRNA from 1 species
GCUUGAUUGAGCCGCAUGGUUCAAUUAUAAAAGGUGGCUUUCAGCUACCACUUACAGAUGGGACCCGCGGCGCAUUAGCUANUUGGUGAGGUAACGGCUCACCAAGGCGACGAUGCGUAGCCGACCUGAGAGGGUGAUCGGCCACACUGGGACUGAGACACGGCCCAGACUCCUACGGGAGGCAGCAGUAGGGAAUCUUCCGCAAUGGACGAAAGUCUGACGGAGCAACGCCGCGUGAGUGAUGAAGGUUUUCGGAUCGUAAAACUCUGUUGUUAGGGAAGAACAAGUACCGUUCGAAUAGGGCGGCACCUUGACGGUACCUAACCAGAAAGCCACGGCUAACUACGUGCCAGCAGCCGCGGUAAUACGUAGGUGGCAAGCGUUGUCCGGAAUUAUUGGGCGUAAAGCGCGCGCAGGCGGUUUCUUAAGUCUGAUGUGAAAGCCCCCGGCUCAACCGGGGAGGGUCAUUGGAAACUGGGGAACUUGAGUGCAGAAGAGGAGAGUGGAAUUCCACGUGUAGCGGUGAAAUGCGUAGAGAUGUGGAGGACACCAGUGGCGAAGGCGACUCUCUGGUCUGUA